GAUGAAGAACGUAGCGAAAUGCGACAAGUAAUGUGAAUUGCAGAAUUCCGUGAAUCAUCGAAUCUUUGAACGCACAUUGCGCCCGCCAGCACUCUGGCGGGCAUGCCUGUCCGAGCGUCAUUUACCACCCUCGGGCCCCCUGGGGGGCCCGGUGCUGGGGGCACGGCCCAGGCCGCCCCCGAAAUGCAGUGGCGACCCCGCCGCGUCCUCCCCUGCGCAGUAGCACAAUCUCGCACCGGAAGCGCGGAGGCGGUCACGCCUGGAAACGCCCCAACUCAACGCAGUUGACCUCGGAUCAGGUAGGAGUACCCGCUGAACUUAAGCAUAUCAAUAAGCGGAGGA
rnacentral:misc_RNA from 1 species